rnacentral:rRNA from 1 species
CGAGCACGCGCGUGUGGCAUAUCAAUAAGCGGAGGAAAAGAAACUAACAAGGAUUCCCUUAGUAACGGCGAGUGAAGCGGGAAGAGCUCAAAUUUGAAAUCUUCAAGGUUCUACCUUGACGAAUUGUAGUUUAUAGAAGUGUUUUCUGUUAGUAGGAGUGGCAAAAGUUCUUUGGAAUAGGACAUCAUAGAGGGUGAGAAUCCCGUAUUUGGUCAUUCCUCCUAGCGUUGUGAUACACUUUCAACGAGUCGGAUUGUUUGGGAAUGCAGUCCAAAAUGGGUGGUAAAUUUCAUCUAAAGCUAAAUAUUGGCGAGAGACCGAUAGCGAACAAGUACCGUGAGGGAAAGAUGAAAAGAACUUUGAAAAGAGAGUUAAACAGUACGUGAAAUUGUCAAAAGGGAAGCGUUUGACACCAGUGUUGUUUUUCCGAAAAUCAAUUACGAAUGUUUUGUUUUUGAGGAGUUAUGACUUCAUCCGGCUUGCUCCUUUCUUUAUGAAACUUUCUUAAGUGCACUUUUCGGUUAACAAGUCAACAUCAAUUUCUUUUGUUGUAAAAGGGUAUGAGGAAGGUGGCUUUCUUUUCGGAGAAAGUGUUUAUAGCCUUGUGCCUCUGCAAUCGGAGAGAUUGAGGUCUGCAGCGUAGAUCCUUCGGGGUUAGAUACGUUUGUGCUAAGUUAUAGCUUUUCAUAGACAACUUGUUGACUAUGUUUAGUCUUGUAGCUUACUCGCAUGACGCUAUUUUACCUACGCUUAGGAUGUUGAGUAGCGACAUACGCAC